rnacentral:tmRNA from 2 species
GGGGCCGUACCGGCAUCGACCGGACAGGCAACGCACAGUGUGGCGCGUCGUGGAGCAUGCCGGCCACGUAAAAAAGCAUGCAAAUUCACAACUGCCAAUAACACGCAGUACGCUCUCGCAGCCUAAUUAGGCUGUGCAGUGAGUCCCCCCACGCCUGAAUAAGGGGGCCGCUGUCAAAAAUCAGGCUGGUUCCAAUGGGCUGACAUGCUUCGGCGGAACGAGAUGAUGCAUGUCUUGGUUCGCACACCCCGUUGCGGGGGUCUGUGCGGUCGACAAUCAAUCCGCAAACACACUCGUAGAGGCAUUGUGCGGACUGUUUCGGCACAGGGGUUCGACUCCCCUCGGCUCCACUU